UUCCUUCCGGUCGAUGAGGUACAUGUACCUCCCUGAUCGGAAGGGUUUCCUUCCGAUCAACGAGGUACAUCCUUGUUGACCAAAAGGAA
rnacentral:miRNA from 1 species